UGCUGGCUUUGCCGUUAGUUUUACUUCGUGCGUUGUCCUGCUGAGGCCAAAGCCAAGCGCCGCAGCGUUAGUGCCCACGUAACGUGUUAUGUUGUAAACGAUUUGAGCUACGUCUACAUAUAAAUAUAUAUCUAUGAUCUGUGUACCUUAUUUGUGAUAUCAUAAC